GCUUAACACAUGCAAGUCGAGGGGCAGCACAGGUAGCAAUACCGGGUGGCGACCGGCGCACGGGUGAGUAACGCGUAUGCAACUUGCCUAUCAGAGGGGGAUAACCCGGCGAAAGUCGGACUAAUACCGCAUGAAGCAGGGAUCCCGCAUGGGAAUAUUUGCUAAAGAUUCAUCGCUGAUAGAUAGGCAUGCGUUCCAUUAGGCAGUUGGCGGGGUAACGGCCCACCAAACCGACGAUGGAUAGGGGUUCUGAGAGGAAGGUCCCCCACAUUGGUACUGAGACACGGACCAAACUCCUACGGGAGGCAGCAGUGAGGAAUAUUGGUCAAUGGCCGAGAGGCUGAACCAGCCAAGUCGCGUGAGGGAUGAAGGUUCUAUGGAUCGUAAACCUCUUUUAUAAGGGAAUAAAGUGCGGGACGUGUCCCGUUUUGUAUGUACCUUAUGAAUAAGGAUCGGCUAACUCCGUGCCAGCAGCCGCGGUAAUACGGAGGAUCCGAGCGUUAUCCGGAUUUAUUGGGUUUAAAGGGUGCGUAGGCGGCCUUUUAAGUCAGCGGUGAAAGUCUGUGGCUCAACCAUAGAAUUGCCGUUGAAACUGGGGGGCUUGAGUAUGUUUGAGGCAGGCGGAAUGCGUGGUGUAGCGGUGAAAUGCAUAGAUAUCACGCAGAACCCCGAUUGCGAAGGCAGCCUGCCAAGCCAUGACUGACGCUGAUGCACGAAAGCGUGGGGAUCAAACAGGAUUAGAUACCCUGGUAGUCCACGCAGUAAACGAUGAUCACUAGCUGUUUGCGAUACACUGUAAGCGGCACAGCGAAAGCGUUAAGUGAUCCACCUGGGGAGUACGCCGGCAACGGUGAAACUCAAAGGAAUUGACGGGGGCCCGCACAAGCGGAGGAACAUGUGGUUUAAUUCGAUGAUACGCGAGGAACCUUACCCGGGUUUGAACGCAUUCGGACCGAGGUGGAAACACCUUUUCUAGCAAUAGCCGUUUGCGAGGUGCUGCAUGGUUGUCGUCAGCUCGUGCCGUGAGGUGUCGGCUUAAGUGCCAUAACGAGCGCAACCCUUGCCACUAGUUACUAACAGGUAAGGCUGAGGACUCUGGUGGGACUGCCAGCGUAAGCUGCGAGGAAGGCGGGGAUGACGUCAAAUCAGCACGGCCCUUACAUCCGGGGCGACACACGUGUUACAAUGGCGUGGACAAAGGGAAGCCACCUGGCGACAGGGAGCGAAUCCCCAAACCACGUCUCAGUUCGGAUCGGAGUCUGCAACCCGACUCCGUGAAGCUGGAUUCGCUAGUAAUCGCGCAUCAGCCAUGGCGCGGUGAAUACGUUCCCGGGCCUUGUACACACCGCCCGUCAAGCCAUGGGAGCCGGGGGUACCUGAAGUCCGUAACCGCGAGGAUCGGCCUAGGGUAAAACUGGUGACUGGGGCUAAGUC
rnacentral:rRNA from 1 species